rnacentral:lncRNA from 1 species
CUUCACAAUAUGUCAAAAUAAAAUGCUGAACGACCCAGAUCCCCCUCCUUUCAAAAAUUGUCAAUAUCUGAUGCAUUUGAAUUAAGCACAAUAUAACUGAAUGUAAAUUUAAUACACGCAUACAAUCAGGGCUAGCAUUUUGAAAAUAUAUUUUAACGGUAACUAACUAUCAGAACAUGAUUAUAAUUAUUAAGGGUAUAUUAAUUGUGUCUAACUGUCGCCUGG